rnacentral:rRNA from 1 species
UACGAAGGGGGCUAGCGUUGCUCGGAAUCACUGGGCGUAAAGCGCACGUAGGCGGACUCUUAAGUCGGUGGUGAAAUCCUGGAGCUCAACUCCAGAACUGCCUCCGAUACUGGGAGCCUUCGAGUCCGGGAGAGGUGAGUGGAACUGCGAGUGUAGAGGUGAAAUUCGUAGAUAUUCGCAAGAACACCGGUGGCGAAGGCGGCCCACUGGAUCGGUACUGACGCUGAGGUGCGAAAGCGUGGGGAGCAAACAGG